rnacentral:rRNA from 2 species
UAGGGAAUCUUCGGCAAUGGGGGGAACCCUGACCGAGCAACGCCGCGUGAGUGAAGAAGGUUUUCGGAUCGUAAAGCUCUGUUGUUAAGGAAGAACGAGUGUGAGAAUGGAAAGUUCAUGCUGUGACGGUACUUAACCAGAAAGGGACGGCUAACUACGUGCCAGCAGCCGCGGUAAUACGUAGGUCCCGAGCGUUGUCCGGAUUUAUUGGGCGUAAAGCGAGCGCAGGCGGUUAGAAAAGUCUGAAGUGAAAGGCAGUGGCUCAACCAUUGUAGGCUUUGGAAACUGUUUAACUUGAGUGCAGAAGGGGAGAGUGGAAUUCCAUGUGUAGCGGUGAAAUGCGUAGAUAUAUGGAGGAACACCGGUAGCGAAAGCGGCUCUCUGGUCUGUAACUGACGCUGAGGCUCGAAAGCGUGGGGAGCGAACAGG